rnacentral:rRNA from 1 species
CUGGUUGAUCCUGCCAGAGGUUACUGCUAUCGAGGUUCGACUAAGCCAUGCGAGUCGAAUGUAGCAAUACAUGGCGUACUGCUCAGUAACACGUGGAUAACCUACCCUUAGAACGGGGAUAAACCCGGGAAACUGGGUAUAAUACCCGAUAGAUCUCGACUGCUGGAAUGCAUCGAGAUCCAAAGCUCCGGCGUCUAAGGAUGGAUCUGCGGCCUAUCAGGUAGUAGUGGGUGUAGCGUACCUACUAGCCUACGACGGGUACGGGUUGUGAGAGCAAGAGCCCGGAGAUGGAUUCUGAGACACGAAUCCAGGCCCUACGGGGUGCAGCAGGCGCAAAAACUUUACAAUGCUGGCAACAGCGAUAAGGGGACCUCGAGUGCCAGGUUACAAAUCUGGCUGUCGUGAUGCCUAAAAAGCAUUGCAUAGCAAGGGCCGGGCAAGACCGGUGCCAGCCGCCGCGGUAACACCGGCGGCCCGAGUGGUGGCCACUAUUAUUGGGUCUAAAGGGUCCGUAGCCGGUUUGGUCAGUCUUCCGGGAAAUCUGGCGGCUUAACUGUCAGGCUUUCAGGAGAUACUGUCUGGCUCGAGGCCGGGAGAGGUGAGAGGUACUUCAGGGGUAGGGGUGAAAUCUUGUAAUCCUUGAAGGACCACCAGUGGCGAAGGCGUCUCACCAGAACGGACCUGACGGCAAGGGACGAAAGCUAGGGGCACGAACCGGAUUAGAUACCCGGGUAGUCCUAGCCGUAAACGAUACUCGCUAGGUGUCGGCCACGGUGCGACCGUUGUCGGUGCCGUAGGGAAGCCGUGAAGCGAGCCACCUGGGAAGUACGGCCGCAAGGCUGAAACUUAAAGGAAUUGGCGGGGGAGCACCACAACGGGUGGAGCUUGCGGUUUAAUUGGAUUCAACGCCGGA